rnacentral:misc_RNA from 1 species
CAAAAAGCUCGUAGUUGGAUCUUGGGAGCUGGCGGGCGGUCCGCCGCGAGGCGAGCCACCGCCCGUCCCCGCCCCUUGCCUCUCGGCGCCCCCUCGAUGCUCUUAGCUGAGUGUCCCGCGGGGCCCGAAGCGUUUACUUUGAAAAAAUUAGAGUGUUCAAAGCAGGCCCGAGCCGCCUGGAUACCGCAGCUAGGAAUAAUGGAAUAGGACCGCGGUUCUAUUUUGUUGGUUUUCGGAACUGAGGCCAUGAUUAAGAGGGACGGCCGGGGGCAUUCGUAUUGCGCCGCUAGAGGUGAAAUUCUUGGACCGGCGCAAGACGGACCAGAGCGAAAGCAUUUGCCAAGAAUGUUUUCAUUAAUCAAGAACGAAACUCGGAGU